ensembl:lncRNA
UGCUUCUCUAAGCUGUUCUCUAUGUUUCUCUAUGCUGUUCUCUAUGUUUCUCUAAGCUGUACUCUAUGCUUCUCUUAGCUGUUCUCUAUGCUUCAUUAAGCUGUUCUCUAUGUUUCUCUCAGCUGUUGUCUAUGUUUCUCUCAGCUGUACUCUAUGCUUCUCUUAGCUGUUCUCUAUGCUUCUCUAAGCUGUUCUCUAUGUUUCUCUCAGCUGUUCUCUAUGCUUCUCUAAGCUGUUCUCUGUGCUUCUCUAAGCUGUUCUCUAUGUUUCUCUCAGCUGUUCUCUAUGUUUCUCUAAGCUGUUCUCUGUGCUUCUCUAAGCUGUUCUCUAUGCUUCUCUUAGCUGUUCUCUAUGCUUCUCUAAGCUGUUCUCUAUGUUUCUCUCAGCUGUUCUCUAUGCUUCUCUAAGCUGUUCUCUGUGCUUCUCUUAGCUGUUCUCUAUGCUUCUCUAAGCUGUUCUCUAGGCUUCUCUUAGCAGUUCUCUUCUCUAAGCUGUUCUCUAUGCUUCUCUUAGCUGUUCUCUAAAAUGCUGUCUCCUUAGCAGCAGGCUGCAAUCCAGUCAUAGCCAAACCUUCCAUAACCUUACGCCACAUUCCCAACACAUGAUCAAGUCGUAACCAAACAGCAACCUGUGAUCCAGUCCAAGGCUUACACCACAUUCCCAACAGACAACCCACUCCUAGCCAAGCCUUAGUCCACACCACAUUCAGCCUGAGAUCCAGUCCUAGCCAAGCCUCAUUCCUAUUCCCUCAGUCCCAACACAGAGCCAAGCCUUCCGCCACAUUCCCUGAACCUAAAAAAAAAACUUAAAAAACUCCCUGAUGCUUCCAAUAUUGGUGUCAGCAUUCUGUAAGGACAGAUGCUGGGAGACGAGAAGCAAGUACAGGGAGUGAACAUUUGAAUAAAUAACAGACAUGAAAGAAAACUCAGAACGGCGUCUGGACAACAACAUCAAUGCAGACACGGGGAUCAAACUGAGG